CAUCAAGGUGAACACAGCAGUAAGUCAUCAAGGUGAACACAGCAGUAAGUCAUCAAGGUGAACACAGCAGUAAGUCAUCAAGGUGAACACAGCAGUAAGUCAUCAAGGUGAACACAGCAGUAAGUCAUCAAGGUGAACACAGCAGUAAGUCAUCAAGGUGAACACAGCAGUAAGUCAUCAAGGUGAACACAGCAGUAAGUCAUCAAGGUGAACACAGCAGUAAGUCAUCAAGGUGAACACAGCAGUAAGUCAUCAAGGUGAACACAGCAGUAAGUCAUCAAGGUGAACACAGCAGUAAGUCAUCAAGGUGAACACAGCAGUAAGUCAUCAAGGUGAACACAGCAGUAAGUCAUCAAGGUGAACACAGCAGUAAGUCAUCAAGGUGAACACAGCAGUAAGUCAUCAAGGUGAACACAGCAGUAAGUCAUCAAGGUGAACACAGCAGUAAGUCAUCAAGGUGAACACAGCAGUAAGUCAUCAAGGUGAACACAGCAGUAAGUCAUCAAGGUGAACACAGCAGUAAGUCAUCAAGGUGAACACAGCAGUAAGUCAUCAAGGUGAACACAGCAGUAAGUCAUCAAGGUGAACACAGCAGUAAGUCAUCAAGGUGAACACAGCAGUAAGUCAUCAAGGUGAACACAGCAGUAAGUCAUCAAGGUGAACACAGCAGUAAGUCAUCAAGGUGAACACAGCAGUAAGUCAUCAAGGUGAACACAGCAGUAAGUCAUCAAGGUGAAUACAGCAGUAAGUCAUCAAGGUGAACACAGCAGUAAGUCAUCAAGGUGAAUACAGCAGUAAGUCAUCAAGGUGAAUACAGCAGUAAGUCAUCAAGGUGAACACAGCAGUAAGUCAUCAAGGUGAACACAGCAGUAAGUCAUCAAGGUGAACACAGCAGUAAGUCAUCAAGGUGAACACAGCAGUAAGUCAUCAAGGUGAACACAGCAGUAAGUCAUCAAGGUGAACACAGCAGUAAGUCAUCAAGGUGAAUACAGCAGUAAGUCAUCAAGGUGAACACAGCAGUAAGUCAUCAAGGUGAAUACAGCAGUAAGUCAUCAAGGUGAACACAGCAGUAAGUCAUCAAGGUGAAUACAGCAGUAAGUCAUCAAGGUGAAUACAGCAGUAAGUCAUCAAGGUGAACACAGCAGUAAGUCAUCAAGGUGAAUACAGCAGUAAGUCAUCAAGGUGAACACAGCAGUAAGUCAUCAAGGUGAACACAGCAGUAAGUCAUCAAGGUGAACACAGCAGUAAGUCAUCAAGGUGAACACAGCAGUAAGUCAUCAAGGUGAAUACAGCAGUAAGUCAUCAAGGUGAAUACAGCAGUAAGUCAUCAAGGUGAAUACAGCAGUAAGUCAUCAAGGUGAACACAGCAGUAAGUCAUCAAGGUGAAUACAGCAGUAAGUCAUCAAGGUGAACACAGCAGUAAGUCAUCAAGGUGAACACAGCAGUAAGUCAUCAAGGUGAACACAGCAGUAAGUCAUCAAGGUGAAUACAGUAUCAUCAGGUUCCUCUAAGUAUCAGACAGUAAUAUGGUAAUGGGAUCUCUAUGGAUAUGGUUGUAGUUGUGCUGUAAGGCUCAUCACAGCAAGGUGGAGAAGUGACUGAACUGGUCUGAUCCACUGGCCAUCACUG